rnacentral:tRNA from 1 species
GAGACUAACUACGAACUGCUAACUCGUAAAACUGAGAUUGAACACUCGGACCUCUC